rnacentral:tRNA from 1 species
GCCUGGGUGGCUCAGUCAGUUAAGCGUCUGACUUCAGCUCAGGUCAUGAUCUCAGUUUUGUGAGUUCGAACCCCAUGUCGGGCC